rnacentral:rRNA from 1 species
CCUACGGGAGGCUGCAGUGGGGAAUAUUGGGCAAUGGACGCAAGUCUGACCCAGCAACGCCGCGUGAAGGAAGAAGGCUUUCGGGUUGUAAACUUCUUUUAAGGGGGAAGAGCAGAAGACGGUACCCCUUGAAUAAGCCACGGCUAACUACGUGCCAGCAGCCGCGGUAAUACGUAGGAUGCGAGCGUUAUCCGGAUUUAUUGGGUUUAAAGGGUGCGCAGGCGGUCUGUUAAGUCAGCGGUCAAAGCCCGGGGCUCAACCCCGGCCCGCCGUUGAAACUGGCAGUCUCGAGUUGGAGAGAAGUAUGCGGAAUGCGCGGUGUAGCGGUGAAAUGCAUAGAUAUCGCGCAGAACUCCGAUUGCGAAGGCAGCAUGCCGGCUCCACACUGACGCUGAGGCACGAAAGCGUGGGUAUCGAACAGGAUUAGAUACCCCGGUAGUC